rnacentral:scRNA from 1 species
UAGCUAUAAAACUGCGUAAACAGGCGCACGAA